AUGCCUGUUUCGAUGAAAUCUGCCAACAGUGCUGCCCUGGAUUUUGCAAUUGUUAAAACAGUGUUUAAAAAUAGGGUUGCUUUGAGAGAGAAGAUGAAGUUCAUGAAGCCGGAUGUUGCUGCUUGUAAUGCUGCUCUUGAAGCUUGCUGUUGUGAUGUUGCUCUUGAAGAAGGAGUAUUCUUUAUGCACACAUCGUUACUCAUUUAG